rnacentral:rRNA from 1 species
CACGUAGGGUGCGAGCGUUGUCCGGAAUUAUUGGGCGUAAAGAGCUCGUAGGCGGUGUGUCGCGUCGGCCGUGAAAACCUGCAGCUUAACUGUGGGCUUGCGGUCGAUACGGGCAUCACUGGAGUUCGGCAGGGGAGACUGGAAUUCCUGGUGUAGCGGUGAAAUGCGCAGAUAUCAGGAGGAACACCUAUAGCGAAGGCAGCUUGCUGGGACGGUACUGACGCUAAGGCGCGAAAGCGUGGGGAGCGAACAGG